rnacentral:lncRNA from 1 species
GGUAUCAAAACAUCAUUAUGGGCCGGGCACGGUGGCUUACGCCUGUAAUCCCAGCACUUUGUAUCAAAACAUCAUUAUGGGCCGGGCACGGUGGCUUACGCCUGUAAUCCCAGCACUUUGGGAGGCUGAGGCAGGCAUAUGAAGAGGUCAAGAGAUCGAGAUCAUCCCGGCCAACAUGAAAUAACAAGAAAGUUAGAAAGUCUUCUGCCUCCCAUCAGAAAAUGAGCUCAAGUGUUGCGAGUAUCCGUUGAAAAUGCCAUCUGAUGCUAAUCAUCUCUGAGUGAACC